rnacentral:rRNA from 1 species
GACGAACGCUGGCGGCGUGCUUAACACAUGCAAGUCGAACGGAAAGGCUCCAGCUUGCUGGAGUACUCGAGUGGCGAACGGGUGAGUAACACGUGGGUAAUCUGCCCUGCACUCUGGGAUAAGCCCGGGAAACUGGGUCUAAUACUGGAUAUGACCUUUCUCCUUAUGGGGUUUGGUGGAAAGUUUUUCGGUGUAGGAUGAGCCCGCGGCCUAUCAGCUUGUUGGUGGGGUGAUGGCCUACCAAGGCGACGACGGGUAGCCGGCCUGAGAGGGUGAUCGGCCACAUUGGGACUGAGAUGCGGCCCAGACUCCUACGGGAGGCAGCAGUGGGGAAUAUUGCACAAUGGGCGGAAGCCUGAUGCAGCGACGCCGCGUGAGGGAUGACGGCCUUCGGGUUGUAAACCUCUUUCAGCAGGGACGAAGCGUAAGUGACGGUACCUGCAGAAGAAGCACCGGCUAACUACGUG